CUCCUGAUAGCUCAGUUGGUAGAGCGAUGGACUGUAAUUGAAAUUCGCAUUCGGAUAUAAAUCCACAGGUCGCGUGUUCGACUCACGCUCGGGAGA